rnacentral:tRNA from 1 species
GUACCCAUAGCUCAGUUGGUUAGAGCAGACGGCUCAUAACCGUCCGGUCGUAGGUUCGAGUCCUACAGGGUACA